UACGUAGGGUGCAAGCGUUGUCCGGAUUAUUGGGCGUAAAGAGCUCGUAGGCGGCUUGUCGCGUCGACUGUGAAAUCCCGCGGCUCAACCGCGGGUCUGCAGUCGAUACGGGCAGGCUAGAGUUCGGUAGGGGAGACUGGAAUCCUGGUGUAGCGGUGAAAUGCGCAGAUAUCAGGAGGAACACCGGUGGCGAAGGCGGUUCUCUGGGCAUUACCUGACGUGAGGAGCGAAAGUGUGGGGAGCGAACAGG
rnacentral:rRNA from 1 species